GACGAACGCUGGCGGCGUGCCUAAUACAUGCAAGUCGAACGCUUCUUUCCUCCCGAGUGCUUGCACUCAAUUGGAAAGAGGAGUGGCGGACGGGUGAGUAACACGUGGGUAACCUACCCAUCAGAGGGGGAUAACACUUGGAAACAGGUGCUAAUACCGCAUAACAGUUUAUGCCGCAUGGCAUAAGAGUGAAAGGCGCUUUCGGGUGUCGCUGAUGGAUGGACCCGCGGUGCAUUAGCUAGUUGGUGAGGUAACGGCUCACCAAGGCCACGAUGCAUAGCCGACUGGAGGGGUGAUCCGGCCACCCGGGACCGGAGCAAGGGCCAAGAUCCUGAGGGAAGGCAGAGGAGGGAAUUUUCCGCAAAGGGCGGAAAUCUUGACGGGGCACGGCGGCUGAGGUAAAGAGGUUUUUCGGUUGGUAAACCCUUUUUGUAGGGGAAGACCAAGGCCGUUAUAAACGAACGUCCCCUGACGGUAGCUAACCAGAAAGCCACGGCUAACUACGUG
rnacentral:rRNA from 1 species